rnacentral:rRNA from 1 species
GACGAACGCUGGCGGCGUGCUUAACACAUGCAAGUCGAACGGAACUUCCCUGCUUUUGUGGGGUGCUCGAGUGGCGAACUGGUGAGUAACACUUGAGUAACCUGCCCUUGACUUUGGGAUAACUUCAGGCAACUUGGGCUAAUACCGGAUAGGAGCUCCUGCUUCAUGGUGGGGGUUGGAAAGUUUCGGCGGUUGGGGAUGGACUCGCGGCUUAUCAGCUUGUUGGUGGGGUAGUGGAUUACCAAGGCUUUGACGGGUAGCCGGGCUGAGAGGGUGACCGGACAAGCUGGGACGGAGAUGAGGCACGGACCAAUACCGGAGGGAGGGGUGGAGAAGGGUGCACAAUGGGAGGAAGGAUGGUGCAGCAAAGCCGUGUGGGGGAAAAGGGGAAGCGGGUAGUAAAGCGAAUUCGUCUGUGAGGAAGCGUGAGUGACGGUAAUGGGUAAAGAAGCACCGGCUAACUACGUG